UACGGAAAAGACGAGCGUUGUUCGGAAUCAUUGGGCGUAAAGGGCGCGUAGGCGGCCGUCCAAGUCGGGUGUGAAAUCCCUCGGCUCAACCGAGGAACUGCACUCGAUACUGGUCGGCUAGAGUCCGGGAGGGGAUGGUGGAAUUCCCAGUGUAGCGGUGAAAUGCGUAGAUAUUGGGAAGAACACCGGUGGCGAAGGCGGCCAUCUGGACCGGUACUGACGCUGAGGCGCGAAAGCCAGGGGAGCGAAUGGG
rnacentral:rRNA from 1 species